rnacentral:rRNA from 1 species
CUGGCGGCGUGCUUAACACAUGCAAGUCGAACGAAGGCCCAGCUUGCUGGGACUCGAGUGGCGAACGGGUGAGUAACACGUGGGUGAUCCUGCCCCAAACUUCGGGAUAAGCCUGGGAAACUGGGUCUAAUACCGGAUAUGACCUGCUCCUGCAUGGGGGUUGGUGGAAAGCUUUGCGGUUUGGGAUGGGCCCGCGGCCUAUCAGCUUGUUGGUGGGGUAAUGGCCUACCAAGGCGACGACGGGUAGCCGACCUGAGAGGGUGAUCGGCCACACUGGGACUGAGACACGGCCCAGACUCCUACGGGAGGCAGCAGUGGGGAAUAUUGCACAAUGGGCGCAAGCCUGAUGCAGCGACGCCGCGUGAGGGAUGACGGCCUUCGGGUUGUAAACCUCUUUCGCCAGGGACGAAGCGCAAGUGACGGUACCUGGAGAAGAAGCACCGGCCAACUACGUG